GUAGGUGGCAAGCGUUGUCCGGGAAUUAUUGGGGCGUAAAGCGCGCGCAGGCGGUUCUUUAAGUCUGAUGUGAAAGCCCACGGGCUCAACCGUGGAGGGUCAUUGGAAACUGGAGAACUUGAGUACAGAAGAGGAAAGCAGAAUUCCACGUGUAGCGGUGAAAUGCGUAGAGAUGUGGAGGAACACCAGUGGCGAAGGCGGCUUUCUGGUCUGUAACUGACGCUGAGGCGCGAAAGCGUGGGGAGCAAACAGGAUUAGAUACCCUGGUAGUCCACGCCGUAAACGAUGAGUGCUAAGUGUUAGGGGGUUUCCGCCCCUUAGUGCUGCAGCUAACGCAUUAAGCACUCCGCCUGGGGAGUACGGCCGCAAAGGCUG
rnacentral:rRNA from 1 species